rnacentral:tRNA from 1 species
GCCGGUGUGGCGGAAUUGGCAGACGCAAGGGACUUAAAAUCCCUCGGGGGGUGACCUCCAUGUGAGUUCGAGUCUCACCACCGGCACCA